GUUUGAUCCUGGCUCAGAAUGAACGUUGGCGGCGUGGAUUAGGCAUGCAAGUCGCGCGAGAAAUCAAUUAGCUUGCUAAGAGAUGGACAGCGGCGAAAGGGAGAGUAAUACGUAGAAAUCUACCCCUUGGUCUGGGAUAGCGUCGGGAAACUGACGGUAAUACCAGAUAAAGUUUUCGAACCAAAGGUGUGAUUCCGCCGGGGGAUGAGUCUACGUGCUAUUAGCUAGUUGGUGAGGUAAUGGCCCACCAAGGCAACGAUGGCUAGCGGGUGUGAGAGCAUGACCCGCCUCACUGGGACUGAGACACUGCCCAGACACCUACGGGUGGCUGCAGUCGAGAAUCUUUGUCAAUGGACGAAAGUCUGAACAAGCGACGCCGCGUGCGGGAUGAAGGCCUUCGGGUUGUAAACCGCUGUCGUAGGGGAACAAAUGUAUUGAGGUACUCCUCUUUACUUGAGUGAUCCUAGGAGGAAGGACGGGCUAAGUUCGUGCCAGCAGCCGCGGUAAGACGAACCGUCCAAACGUUAUUCGGUAUCACUGGGCUUAAAGAGUUCGUAGGCGGCCAUGUAGGUCAGGUGUGAAAUCCCACAGCUCAACUGUGGAACUGCGCUUGAAACCACGUGGCUUGAGGGAGAUAGAGGUGAGCGGAACAGAUGGUGGAGCGGUGAAAUGCGUUGAUAUCAUCUGGAACACCGGUGGCGAAAGCGGCUCACUGGAUCUCUUCUGACGCUGAGGAACGAAAGCUAGGGUAGCGAACGGGAUUAGAUACCCCGGUAGUCCUAGCCGUAAACGAUGAACACUGGGUUGAGGGGACCUCCACAUCCUCUCGGCCGUAGCGAAAGCGUUAAGUGUUCCGCCUGGGGAGUAUGGUCGCAAGGCUGAA
rnacentral:rRNA from 1 species